rnacentral:rRNA from 1 species
AUGUGUUCCGAUUGUAGACCCAUCAAUGCUAUCACCGUUCGCUAUAGGUAUCCAAUUCCACGCCUUGACAAUAUGCUAGAUGAACUUAGCGGUGCCACUAUCUUUUCCAAAAUUGAUCUUAAAAGUGGUUACUAUCAAAUACACAUACAAGAGGGUGAUGAAUGGAAAAUCGCUUUCAAAACAAAGUUUGGUUUGUAUGAGUGGUUAGUCAUGCCUAUGGGUUUAUCGGAAGCACCCGGUACUUUCAUGCGCCUUAUGCAUUAUGUGUUUCGCCCUUAUAUUGGUGAAUUUGUUGUUGUCUACUUCGAUGAUAUCCUUGUUUUUAACAAAUCUCUCAAAGAGCAUGUCACCCACCUUCGCACCGUGCUACAAACUCUUCAAAAAGAGCAACUUUAUGCUAAUAUGGAAAAAUGCCUUUUUGUGUAG